GAUGAACGCUGGCGGCGUGCCUAAUACAUGCAAGUCGAGCGAAUGGAUUAAGGGCUUGCUCUUAUGAAGUUAGCGGCGGACGGGUGAGUAACACGUGGGUAACCUGCCCAUAAGACUGGGAUAACCCCGGGAAACCGGGGCUAAUACCGGAUAACAUUUUGAACCGCAUGGUUCGAAAUUGAAAGGCGGCUUCGGCUGUCACUUAUGGAUGGACCCGCGUCGCAUUAGCUAGUUGGUGAGGUAACGGCUCACCAAGGCAACGAUGCGUAGCCGACCUGAGAGGGUGAUCGGCCACACUGGGACUGAGACACGGCCCAGACUCCUACGGGAGGCAGCAGUAGGGAAUCUUCCGCAAUGGACGAAAGUCUGACGGAGCAACGCCGCGUGAGUGAUGAAGGCUUUCGGGUCGUAAAACUCUGUUGUUAGGGAAGAACAAGUGCUAGUUGAAUAAGCUGGCACCUUGACGGUACCUAACCAGAAAGCCACGGCUAACUACGUGCCAGCAGCCGCGGUAA
rnacentral:rRNA from 1 species